CACGUAGGGUGCAAGCGUUGUCCGGAUUUAUUGGGCGUAAAGGGCUAGUAGGCGGCUUGGCAAGUCGGAUGUGAAAACUCCAGGCUCAACCUGGAGACGCCACUCGAUACUGCCAUGGCUAGAGUCCGGUAGGGGAGCACGGAAUUCCUGGUGUAGCGGUGAAAUGCGCAGAUAUCAGGAGGAACACCGGUGGCGAAGGCGGUGCUCUGGGCCGGAACUGACGCUGAAUAGCGAAAGCGUGGGUAGCAAACAGG
rnacentral:ncRNA from 3 species